AACGAACGCUGGCGGCAUGCCUAACACAUGCAAGUCGAACGAGACCUUCGGGUCUUGUGGCGCACGGGUGCGUAACGCGUGGUAACCUGCCCUUAGGUUCGGAAUAACUCCCCGAAAGGGGUGCUAAUACCGGAUAAUGUCUUCGGACCAAAGAUUUAUCGCCUUUGGAUGGGCCCGCGUUGGAUUAGCUAGUUGGUAGGGUAAAAGCCUACCAAGGCGACGAUCCAUAGCUGGUAUGAGAGGAUGAUCAGCCACACUGGGACUGAGACACGGCCCAGAAUAGUACGGGAGGAAGCAGUGGGGAAUAUAGGAAAAUGGGCGAAAGCAUGAACCAGCAAUGCCGCGUGAGUGAUGAAGGCCUUAGGGUUGUAAAGCUCUUUUACCCGGGAUGAUAAUGACAGUACCGGGAGAAUAAGCUCCGGCUAACUCCGUG
rnacentral:rRNA from 1 species